ACGCAACGCGAGGAACCUUACCUAGGCUUGACAAUGUGGUGAGUAGCGAACCGAAAGGGGAGCGACCCGUCAAAUCGGGCCAGUCACACAGGUGCUGGCAUGGCUGUCGUCAGCUCGUGCCGUGAGGUGUUGGGUCAGUCCCGCAACGAGCGCAACCCUCGCCCUUUGUUGCCAUCGGGUAAAGCCGGGCACUCUAAGGGGGACUGCCAGCGACAAGUUGGAGGAAGGAGAGGAUGACGUCAAGUCAUCAUGGCCGUUUAUGCCUAGGGCCACACACGUGCA
rnacentral:rRNA from 1 species